rnacentral:tRNA from 1 species
GAGGGUAUAGCUCAGCGGCAGAGUGCAUGCUUAGCAUGCGUGAGGUCCUGGGUUCAAGCCCCAGUGCCUCCU